CAAAAAGAUGGAUAUCUAGUAGGGUUAUGAGGAAAGGAUGAAAGAAAGAGAGCAAAAUCAAAAUAGGGAACUGAAGCUAAUUCGAUCGAAUUGUAGAAGGGUUCAUCACAAUAUGUAUGGUUACGUUGUGUUGCUAAAGCUCAGCAGACAGAUGCAAUGUAAGCAGGGUAGAGAGAAAAAAGGAAAUUUUUCUUGUAACCUUGGGUGAAAUAAAAAAAAAGGGUCAUAUAAUAUUUAGCUUAAUUCAUACGUAAACACUACCCCUGUGGUAUUGAGGUACUUCAACUUUUUAUUCCUUCUCUUGCUCUUCGGAAAAGUACCCUUUCAACCACUGAGCUUCCUUUUCCAUUUCCUCAAGUGUUCUUGGCUUACGAUCCUCGUCCUUAGGAAUAGCUUGCCUCAUACUGGUUGGCGGUCUCUCAUCUCCUGCAUACCGCUCAUUUCCCGUAAGAUAAAGGGAAGCAAGAUUUCCUUCGUUUUUUUCCAACUCACUGUAGACUAGAUCGUUUUCUGAAAAAUCUGCCUUUUUACGAGGGAUAAUGUGAACAUGUACAUGAGGAACUGUUUGACCAGCGUCUACACCAUCCUAUUGAGUUAAAAGCAAAAUGUCAGCUUCUAAAUUAAAACGAUUUUUUAUUUUGAAUGUGAAAAGGAAUAUGUUUUUUUAUUUAUUCCUUGACUAUCAAAGUACUUACUUGAAUACCAAUGUUUGAUGCAGAUGCCGAAAACACCUUUUCGAUUACCUGUUGCACUUUGCGAACAGAAGUAAACAAAUCCGUCAACUAAGUUUUCAUUAGUUAGCGUAUGCAGAUUCCAUUAUUUUUUCGAAUAGCAUAAGAAUCCUACCUCUGAAGGUGUCAAAUCUUUCAAUCUAGGGACCGCCCGUUGCGGAAUUACCAAAACAUGACCUGGUAAAAUUGGUUUCAGGUUUACAAACGCGGCAGAUAACUAAAAUCGUUAGCAGCUGACCUCAACCAAAGAAAAAUCACAAACUGUCUGCCGUUAUAGAAUAAAUAAGAAUGACAAACAAAAGUUUGCAAACACCAAUAUCUACACACAUGAGACCGUUAACUUACCUUAGUACGAUAAAAAACUUGACUUCCAACAGGAAACUUGGAGAAAUAUAGCUGUUUUGGCAUUCUGGCUUACGAAUAUUGUAAGAAUCUAAGUUGUUGGUUGAAUUCAGCUUCACGAUGCUCACAACCCAUAUCGCGGAGUCCCUGGAGAGUCAUGUGCGAAAGUGUCUAUGGAAUAUAAUAAGAAAGAUUGAUAUACUUAAAAAACAAACAGACUAUGAGAAAAUAGCGUCUUGCAUAUAUGUAAGUAACAGUAUCAUGGAACAGAUAAAGCGGACUAAAAAUUCCAAUAUUAUCGAAUUUUAUUAUUCGUAUGCACACAAGUUUCAAACGGUAUCGAAACCACUAAUUACUUUCCAAAAAAUUGCACUACGGCACUUUUGUUUAUAUUGUUUUUACCAUAUCCAAUCAUGCAGGAUACUGAUUGAAUAUCAGCACUUACAAUAGUUAUUCAUAAGAGCAUUAAAAAUUUUAUUGAAUCAUAAACCGGACCAACUAUUUACGAGUUGACACUUGUUUUUACCAUCAAACAGGCAAAACAGGUGAAAUCUAAGUUAGUCCUUUAUUAAAGAUACAUCAAAUAUGUUAAGGUCAUAUUCAAUACUAAAUCAAUGUAAGCCAUCAGUUGAAGGAUGACAUAACAUUAAUUCAUUGUUGAGUGAUAAAUAAUCGUGUUUAAAUAUAAUCUCACACGAACCGUUGAAGAAGUGUAACUCACCCACCUAUGUCUAUUAUGAAGACAAUUUAAAAUAUGCAUGCAGAUUGAACUAGAUCAGAAAGAAAUGGAAAAUGCUUUUAAAAACCCCUGCAUCAUGAACAGACAGAAUGAAAGGGUAA